rnacentral:tRNA from 2 species
GGCAAUCUGUCCGAGUGGUCAAGGAGUACGUCUCGAACUAAAACGCCCGCGUGGUUCGACCCCCCUCUGGGGGAGGAAACGUAUAGGCUCUGCCUGCACAGGUUCGAAUCCUGUGGUUGUCG